AAAAGAAAAAAAUCGAUCUGCAGCAUUGAAUAAUCUCAAUUUGUAAAUGUGAGCGAUUUGAGCCAUUUGACGGACUCACUUUGCAACUGGAGAUUGCUCGAGACUGCGGCAUAUGCCACAAAGUAUUA
rnacentral:pre_miRNA from 15 species